CCUACGGGGGGCUGCAGUGAGGAAUAUUGGUCAAUGGGCGCUAGCCUGAACCAGCCAAGUAGCGUGAAGGAUGACUGCCCUAUGGGUUGUAAACUUCUUUUGUAUGGGAAUAAAGUGCAGUAUGUAUACUGCUUUGCAUGUACCUUAUGAAUAAGGAUCGGCUAACUCCGUGCCAGCAGCCGCGGUAAUACGGAGGAUUCGAGCGUUAUCCGGAUUUAUUGGGUUUAAAGGGAGCGUAGGCGGGUUGUUAAGUCAGUUGUGAAAGUUUGCGGCUCAACCGUAAAAUUGCAGUUGAUACUGGCAGCCUUGAGUACAGUAGAGGUAGGCGGAAUGCGUGGUGUAGCGGUGAAAUGCUUAGAUAUCACGAAGAACUCCGAUUGCGAAGGCAGCCUGCUGGACUGUAACUGACGCUGAGGCUCGAAAGUGUGGGUAUCAAACAGGAUUAGAUACCCUAGUAGUC
rnacentral:rRNA from 1 species